ACGGGAGGCAGCAGUGAGGAAUAUUGGUCAAUGGACGGGAGUCUGAACCAGCCAAGUAGCGUGAGGGAUGACGGCCAUAUGGUUGUAGACCUCUUUUGCGAGGGAAUAAAGUGCGUCACGUGUGGUGCAUUGCAUGUACCUUGCGAAUAAGGAUCGGCUAACUCCGUGCCAGCAGCCGCGGUAAUACGGAGGAUCCGAGCGUUAUCCGGAUUUAUUGGGUUUAAAGGGAGCGUAGGCGGGAAGUCAAGUCAGCUGUGAAAUGUAGUCGCUCAACGUCUGCACUGCAGUUGAAACUGGUUUUCUUGAGUGCGUAAGAGGCAGGUGGAAUUUGUCGUGUAGCGGUGAAAUGCUUAGAUAUGACGAAGAACUCCGAUUGCGAAGGCAGCCUGCUGGGCCGCAACUGACGCUGAAGCUCGAAGGUGCGGGUAUCAAACAGGAUUAGAUACCCUGGUA
rnacentral:rRNA from 1 species